GGAUGUGGCUCUGGAGAAGCCCGGAAACGGGUACCGAAGGUGCAAGGCGGCGCGGAGACGCGCGGCUGAAUCUCUCAGGUAAAAGGACGGAGUGGAACGU
rnacentral:ncRNA from 2 species